rnacentral:rRNA from 1 species
GAUGAACGCUAGCUACAGGCUUAACACAUGCAAGUCGAGGGGUAACGAGAGGAAAGCUUGCUUUCCUUGUCGACGACCGACGCACGGGUGAGUAACGCGUAUCCAACCUGCCCCCAACUAGGGAAUAACCUUGCGAAAGUAAGACUAAUACCCUAUAAUUUCCUCAGAUGUCAUCUGACGAGGAAUAAAGAUUUAUCGGUUGUGGAUGGGGAUGCGUCUGAUUAGCUUGUUGGCGGGGUAACGGCCCACCAAGGCAACGAUCAGUAGGGGUUCUGAGAGGAAGGUCCCCCACAUUGGAACUGAGACACGGUCCAAACUCCUACGGGAGGCAGCAGUGAGGAAUAUUGGUCAGUGGGCGGAAGCCUGAACCAGCCAAGUAGCGUGCAGGAUGACGGCCCUAUGGGUUGUAAACUGCUUUUAUACAGGAAUAAAGUUAGCCACGUGUGGUUAUUUGUAGGUACUGUAUGAAUAAGGACCGGCUAAUUCCGUGCCAGCCGCCGCAGUAA